rnacentral:lncRNA from 1 species
AGUAACAUCUCUGCUCUCACAGGUUCACAGUGCAUUGAAAAACUAUAUGCCAACUUUCCUGCAAUGACGAUCCCUCUGAAUGUGUUCUCGUCAUGGGGUGGCGUCAGUUGCCAUGUGAAGCUGACCGCUGCUCCUGGGUUUCUGAUCCGCCUGAUCAUCAGCUCCUUUCUCAUUGAGGCCACAGACUGUGUGAAUGACGGCCUGGUGGUGUACGACGCUCUUCUGCCCAUGAGGGGGCGCACUCUCCUGCGGUCAGCAUCUCUACAGGGGCUUUAUUUGUGCAGGAUUUUCAACAUGAAGCAUUUAUUGUUGGUUAUUGGUGUAUUACAGGUUAUGUGAGCCAGUGUCUAAUGCUUUCUCCCUGGUGUCUACCUCCAAUGUGAUGUUAUUGUCAUUCACUAUGACAAGUGGGAACAAGAAUUUCAGGGGAGACUUUGAGGCCAUCAGCAAGGAAUGUAUGACGCUGUUUGUUUGCAUACCUUCUACUGCUCAAGCCCCCCUUCAGUUAUAAUGUCUGUUCAUUCACAAAACUGAUCUGUGUCUGUUGUUUUUAGUAUGUGUGUCUCACAUUGAGAUCCAGUCACAUCCUGACUUCUCUGGUAACCUGUACAGCCCCUUCUACCCCAGUCUGCUGCCCCCACAGUGCUCCUGCACCUGGACAUUUCAGACGUCACAUUCUGCUUUGGGAGUGGCUCUUCAUUUCAAGAACUAUGUCUUAAAAGUAAAGGACAUGAAAGCUUGUGACCAAGGCUGGUGGAAAAUCAACAAAAUCAUUUACUGUGGAACCUAUGUCGACCACAGAACAGUGUUUCGCAUCAGUGACCCAAGUCCUGAAGUGGAGUUUCACUGCAGCUCUCGUACCUCUGUUCAACCUUUUGAGGCAUCAUACACCAGUUAUAAUAUCAGCCAACGUGAGAAGAACCAAAAACAUUGGAGAACAUUUUUGAGUUACAGUUUAAAUAAUGUUGUUGGACAUUGACUUUUUACUUAUGUGCUCAUUAGCCUGUUCAGAGAGCCACUUCCUGUGCUCCACGGGCCUGUGUGUGGAGAAGAGCAGGCGCUGUGAUGGUCUGGACGACUGCCUGGAUGAGAGUGAUGAAGUCUUCUGUUCUAAACCCUCAGCAAACUGCGCAGGCAGCAGUCCACUUCACCCUCUGUUUGUGUGCAAUGGAGAGAGAGACUGCGCUAAUGGAAUAGAUGAGAUCAACUGCACUCAAGGUAGACAGCUAAACAGUUUAGUGCAUAAUGCAAACUGUAUAUACCUAGUAAUAGCUUCUUUACAUUCAUUACAGAAACCACCUGCUCAGCUGUAA